rnacentral:rRNA from 1 species
UACGGAGGGUGCAAGCGUUAAUCGGAAUUACUGGGCGUAAAGCGCGCGCAGGCGGUCAUCUACGUCUGGGGUGAAAGCCCGGAGCUCAACUCCGGGAUUGCCUUGGAUACGGGAUGACUUGAGGAUCGGAGAGGCAAGGGGAAUUCCACGUGUAGCGGUGAAAUGCGUAGAGAUGUGGAGGAACACCUGUGGCGAAGGCGCCUUGCUGGCCGAUUUCUGACGCUGAGGCGCGAAAGCGUGGGGAGCAAACAGG